rnacentral:rRNA from 1 species
CAGGUCACUCCUACGGGAGGCAGCAGUGGGGAAUUUUGGACAAUGGGGGCAACCCUGAUCCAGCCAUGCCGCGUGUGUGAAGAAGGCCUUCGGGUUGUAAAGCACUUUCGGACGGAACGAAAUCGCGCGGGCGAAUAUCCCGCGUGGAUGACGGUACCGUAAGAAGAAGCACCGGCUAACUACGUGCCAGCAGCCGCGGUAAUACGUAGGGUGCGAGCGUUAAUCGGAAUUACUGGGCGUAAAGUGUGCGCAGGCGGCCGCGCAAGUCGAGUGUGAAAGCCCCGGGCUUAACUUGGGAAUUGCGCUCGAAACUACGUGGCUGGAGUGUGGCAGAGGAAGGUGGAAUUCCACGUGUAGCGGUGAAAUGCGUAGAGAUGUGGAGGAACACCAAUGGCGAAGGCAGCCUUCUGGGCCAACACUGACGCUCAUGCACGAAAGCGUGGGGAGCAAACAGGAUUAGAUACCCUGGUAGUCCACGCCCUAAACGAUGACGACUAGUUGUUGGAGGAGUUAAAUCCUUUAGUAACGCAGCUAACGCGCGAAGUCGUCCGCCUGGGGAGUACGGUCGCAAGAUUAAAACUCAGAGGAAUUGACG